rnacentral:rRNA from 1 species
CCUACGGGUGGCUGCAGUGGGGAAUAUUGGACAAUGGGCGAAAGCCUGAUCCAGCCAUGCCGCGUGUGUGAAGAAGGCCUUCGGGUUGUAAAGCACUUUCAGUGGGGAAGAAAGCCUUGGGGCUAAUACCCUCGAGGAAGGACAUCACCCACAGAAGAAGCACCGGCUAACUCCGUGCCAGCAGCCGCGGUAAUACGGAGGGUGCGAGCGUUAAUCGGAAUUACUGGGCGUAAAGCGCGCGUAGGCGGUCUGAUAAGCCGGUUGUGAAAGCCCCGGGCUCAACCUGGGAACGGCAUCCGGAACUGUCAGGCUAGAGUGCAGGAGAGGAAGGUAGAAUUCCCGGUGUAGCGGUGAAAUGCGUAGAGAUCGGGAGGAAUACCAGUGGCGAAGGCGGCCUUCUGGUCUGACACUGACGCUGAGGUGCGAAAGCGUGGGUAGCAAACAGGAUUAGAUACCCCUGUAGUC